CGCCUCGUCCCCAUCCGCCCGCUCCCCUCCGUAUAGCCUUUGUUUUUCUCCGCCUCCGGGGGCCCUCCUCGGUGACCCCCGAAUGUCCGCCACUUGCCUCAGGCCCGCACCUCACACCUGUCAGGGCCCCGCCCUGUCCUGCCCAGUCCCAGCAGGAGAGACCUCGCCCGGUUCCUUGACACUUGGCCACUCCUGCCGCGCCCCCUACUGACCUCUGACCGCCGCUUGCGCCUCUGGACUACAGGGUAUCACCCUUCCCCCCAACCCUCCUUCACCCUUCACCGCUCAUGCACUCCAGGACCUAUCUUGCUCAGUCCCGGAGGAUUGACCGCGCUAGCUCUCGCUUCCCCAGACCCCGGCGCGCUCCUCUGCGCGUCCCCCACUUGCUGCCCCCUCACUCUUGCCCCUCGGUCCCCAGGGUUAACAGAGGUUCCCCCUCCCUCCUCCUAAACCCGCAGUCCCUUCCACUCCCUUCUCUGCUGCUGAGACUCUUCCUCCUCAUUAGCUUUCUAACGGCGGUUUUUGAGGAAUAGAAACACAAGACAAAAAGACCUAUUUCCUCUGUAAAAUGGGCAUGGAAGAUUAGUUUGGAGUUGCUCAAAUUAUGGGUAUAAAGUACAAUGCCAGCCACAGGUGUGCUGGAGGCCUAGACUGUGCAGUAAAGGAAAGAAGAUUGGAAAGAAAACUGUCUUAUUCAUAAGUGAGCAU